UACGUAGGGUGCAAGCGUUGUCCGGAAUUAUUGGGCGUAAAGAGCUCGUAGGCGGUUUGUCGCGUCUGCUGUGAAAACCGGAGGCUCAACCUCCGGCCUGCAGUGGGUACGGGCAGACUAGAGUGCGGUAGGGGAGACUGGAAUUCCUGGUGUAGCGGUGAAAUGCGCAGAUAUCAGGAGGAACACCGGUGGGCCGAAGGCGGUGGUCUGGGCCGGCACUGACGCUGGAGGAGCGAAAGCGUCGGGGAGCGAACAGG
rnacentral:rRNA from 1 species